rnacentral:rRNA from 1 species
ACGGAGGAUGAGAGCGUUAUCCGGAUUUAUUGGGUUUAAAGGGUGCGUAGGCGGAUUAAUAAGUCAGUGAUGAAAACCUUCAGCUUAACGGGAGAACUGCCAUUGAUACUGUUAGUAUUGAGUACGGUCAAGGUAGGCGGAAUGAGUAAUGUAGCGGUGAAUUGCUUAGAUAUUACACAGAGCACCGAUUGCGAAGGCAGCUUCCUGGGCCAUUCCUGACGCUGAGGCCCGAAAUAGUGGGGAGCGAAAAG